ACAACAGAUAAUAUGAAAUGAUGUCGACUUUUUAUGCACUUCCUGCAUUCAUGCAAUGCAUUAGUAAACCUACCAACCCUUAUAAGUCAUCCAUUCAUAUCAAAUUUUGAAGCACCAAAUUUGUAAAAAAAUCAAAUAAUGGAAUGAUAGAUUGUCAAUGGUAUCACUACAAUAUGAGGAUGUAUCACGGUUGAGAUAAUUGAACACAUGAUACACUGAGAAGUAUACUUCAUAAUCUACUAGAGCAACACUAAUUAAAUAAAUAAACAAUAAAAAAACCAAGAAAGUAUGUUUCCCC
rnacentral:lncRNA from 1 species